UCGAACGGCAGCACAGAGGAGCUUGCUCCCUGGGUGGCGAGUGGCGGACGGGUGAGGAAUACAUCGGAAUCUACUUUUUCGUGGGGGAUAACGUAGGGAAACUUACGCUAAUACCGCAUACGACCUACGGGUGAAAGCAGGGGACCUUCGGGCCUUGCGCGAUUGAAUGAGCCGAUGUCGGAUUAGCUAGUUGGCGGGGUAAAGGCCCACCAAGGCGACGAUCCGUAGCUGGUCUGAGAGGAUGAUCAGCCACACUGGAACUGAGACACGGUCCAGACUCCUACGGGAGGCAGCAGUGGGGAAUAUUGGACAAUGGGCGCAAGCCUGAUCCAGCCAUACCGCGUGGGUGAAGAAGGCCUUCGGGUUGUAAAGCCCUUUUGUUGGGAAAGAAAUCCAGCUGGCUAAUACCCGGUUGGGAUGACGGUACCCAAAGAAUAAGCACCGGCUAACUUCGUGCCAGCAGCCGCGGUAAUACGAAGGGUGCAAGCGUUACUCGGAAUUACUGGGCGUAAAGCGUGCGUAGGUGGUCGUUUAAGUCCGUUGUGAAAGCCCUGGGCUCAACCUGGGAACUGCAGUGGAUACUGGGCGACUAGAGUGUGGUAGAGGGUAGCGGAAUUCCUGGUUGUAGCAGUGAAAUGCGUAGAGAUCAGAGGAACAUCCAUGGCGAAAGCAGCUACCUGGACCAACACUGACACUGAGCACGAAAGCGUGGGGAGCAACAGAUUAGAUACCCUGGUAGUCCACGCCCUAACGAUGCGAACUGGAUGUUGGGUGCAAUUUGGCACGCAGUAUCGAGCUACGCGUUAAGUUCGCCGCCUGGGGAGUACGUCGCAGACUGAACUCAA
rnacentral:rRNA from 1 species